GUCCCUGUAGCUUAAUGGUCAGCGUUUGGUGCUUUAUCUUCAGCGUUUGAUUUUCCCAGCGAAUAGAGUUAAGGUAGCGAAAGACGUCGGUUCGAACCCGACCGGGGACA